AUUAAUGAAAAACCAGAACUGGAACGACCAAGAGCCAUAAAUGAUAACAAAAAUCACCAGAUCCAAGCAAACACAUGAGUCUCAGAUACUUAAGAAGUUACCACCAUGCUCAACAACAAAGAUGGUUCUUGAAUGGAAGACGUAAAUUCAAGUCUAAUGCCGACUAGAAGAAUCAAAGAAGAAAAGAAAGGUGGAGAAAGCUGUCACAGUCAAGUACCAAACUAGAGCCAGGAGAUCUGAGCAUCAAUGGUAGAAGUCAAAAGCAUCGGACGAAGGAUCCUAUUUCCAGUGAAGACUAUGACAGAAUUGUAUGAUGUGACACCAUAUGGACCACGAACCACAAGCAUACUGUACACGGUCCUUCCCAGAAAACAUUUGCUGGCCCUGAACUAGACCAUGGAGAAAUACCAAGAUGCAGUUUUUCUAAACUCAAAGUUGGAGGAAAGUACAUACACUGAGCUGAGGAACACCUGGAAGUAUCAUGUUUAAAGGCACCGGUCAGGGGAAGCUUGGCUGAGGAGAAACAGAGAUGUGUCUGAUACAUUGAGAGCAAGAAUGAGGAAGUUCCUGGAACAGUAAUCACGAAGACAACCAAGAGUGACCUGGUGCCCCGAAGCUGAUGCAGGAAAGGCUGCAGCGCAUUACCGAGUCGGGUCUUGUCUACUCAGAAGCAUGCCGUAUUCCAACGCAGCAGUUAGAAACUCUUUGAAGUCUGUUUUAGCAGUCUGUUCUUUUAAAUUGUCAAUAAUAUAAACACAGCAAUC
rnacentral:lncRNA from 1 species